UAUGAUGGCUGUGUGGUACUGAGAAGAGGCAUCCUCCUUCUCCCAGACAUGUAUUCCCACUGCUUGCUUGACUGUCUGCUUACUGAAUCCUCUUGCAAAGCUGGCAGGGAACUAGCCAAGCAAAAAAGUUUCCAAUGGACCAUCAGCAAUGGGAGAAGAACCAAGGAAUGAGUAGCACACAGUAAUUUGUCUUUUCACUGAAGGAGCACCACAUGUCAGUCAUCCACUGGGAUAUUGCAAGCUCGGGCUGGAGGAGGGGCCAGCUAAACAGCUUAGCAUCUCAUCUGCACCGAGAGACCAGCCAGAAGAACAUUAGUCUUGGAAUGCUCAAAAUUAACUGGAAAGCUAGAAGUAAUUUUCAAUGGCACACAUAAGAUCCUGGAUUUCUGAGUGGAAUUUACCAUGAAACUUCGGACAACAGGAGCACGCAAACAUUGGAAGACCUUUAUACAUCCUUUCUUCAGGAGAAAAGCUAUAGUAACCCACAGUAAUUUGUUGGAAUGAAGCUGCCAGAAUUUGAUUUCACCCUUCUCUGUGCCUGAGCUUGGAUUUAUUUUCAUUUUUAAAAUGAGUGAUGUUUUUAAAACCAAAAUCAGUGAAAAUCCUCACUAUAUUAACCUGCACCUGCUUAACACCUCUUACAGCAAGUUGAAACAGACAUCCUGAGAUCAAACUAAUUAUGUACCAUUGUUGUUUAGAAGUUUGUGGGAGGGUGUGAUUCCACCAAUUCCAUGCACAAGUUUCACUAUAAAUGCAGUGCAGGUUUUAGAUUCCCUCUGCAGUCAGCAGAGAUGGACAUCUAUGGAGGGCGCUUAAGCCAUCCUAGAAUAAAUGAGUUGCUUUCUGGAAGUGGCUGACUCCCUCUGCUGACUGCAGAGACUCUUUCUGCCAUGCUAGUUUUUCUAUUGACAAAACAAUAUUCUUGAUUCUUUGUAUAAAAAACCCUAAACAAUGCAGGUAAUGCAUGAGAAAAUGAAAGUCCACAAACUUUGAAAAUAUAUUAAAUCAAUAUUGUAACAUGAGCACAAUAAUUUAUUCUGCAUUUCGUGUUAAUGCAUGAUCUUUAUCCCCCCUGAUACGAGAAUUCAGGAGUGCUACCUCUAUUGGAUUUUUGACCACUGUCAGAUUUAGAAAAACUGAAAUGCCACCCUGGAAGAGAAACAAGAUGAAUCUAUGUCUAUUAUCCCUUUGCCAAUGCUGCACAGCCCAGUGCUGACACUUCUGACAAAUGCCUACCAGCCUCAUGCUAGGCAAAUAAGGAAUAAUCUGUCCUCUCCCCUUCCCUUCUGGGCUUUACCUGAUCUGUACCUCUAAGGACUGGCUUGAAUUAAGAAAUAUUAAAUAAUUUUUCUACAAAGCUAAUGUUGUACUUGUACCUGAAAAUUCUCGAAAUAAUUGCUUAACCCUUUUCUUAACAUAACAAAUCAUAAGUUUCAACAGUCUCCUGUGGCAACAGGUUCCACAGUUUGAUUACAUAGUAGGUAUAAAAGUAUUAUUUUGAUUCUCUAUGUUUUACUUUUGUUAAAUGCCUCCUUGGUUUUGAACAGACAUGCACAUAGACUAGGAGUUUUUAAUCUUCUUUACUUUGUCUGCUGCUCUCUGCAUUUUUUCUAAAAUAAGUGAUUUUAAUAUUAUCUGCUUUUCAGUAAGUAAUGUCUUUUUUUUUAACCCUUCCACAAGUCUUUUCUAAUUCUCCAAAAUCCUUUCCAUGGAUGCAGGUAUCAGAGUGCAUAUAAUGUUCUAAACAAAUUCGUGCUAAUGAUUUAUAGAAACACAUUCUAACAUUGUGCUAUUUGCUUUCAGCCUUUUUAUAUCUUCUUUGCUUUUUUUGUUCAGCUACAGCUAUGUACACAGUUACAUCGUCACUUACCUAAGAUAAUGUUGAUGUCCAUUUCUUGACCAAAUAUUGUCAUGUAGACAUACCUACAGCUAAUUCAUAGUUCAGCAAUGUAUCCUAGUAAUUCACACCGCGUUUAUCAGCUUUGAUUUUCCUUUCUCAUCUUUGUGCCCAUGCAUCUAAUGUGUUUGGAUUCCUUUGUGUGAUAUCUUCCAUUUUUAUUGUCAUAUGUGCAGUGUGUUUAUUGAUAGUGGAACUGAGAUUCUAUAUUCCCAGGCAGAAAUAAUAAACCAAGGUAAUCUGCAUGAAAAACUUUAAUUUAAUUUGUAAAACUAAGCAUAUUAAGGAAACACCCCCAUAUAUUAUGUUUUGCAUAUUAUUUAUAUGAAAUAAUGAAUGCUAACAGCUAUAUUUAAAGAGGAAAAAAAAAACACAGGAGGAAUUUGUUACUUUCUAAACCGGUUUCUAAUUAAUCUCCUUAUUUCCCUAAAACAGACAGAUGUCUCUACCAAAACAAAUCCAAAACUAUGGAUGCCCAGGGUUGUAAUUUUCCACAAAGCAGGCAAAAAUGACUAUGAUCAAUUUUCUCUUCUCAGAGUUCAAUCUGAAAUUAAUAUUCUGAGCAUCACUAUUAAAGCAGGAUGUGAGAGAAAGGUAAACAGCCAUAAGAGGGGGGCAAAAUGCAACAGAGAAAAUUGGAAGAAGGGAGACUUGAAAUCAAAGGGAAAUCUGAGGAGAUAAUUUAGAGAAGUGAGAGAGAAGAUUGAAAUUAUCUGUUUUCAGCAACUUAAAGAGAAGAUAAAGAUGCCAGAGUGUUUGAAAGGUGAAAUAACCAAUUCUGUGAGAGAGAAAAGCUGAGCGGGGGUAAUAAUUUAUGGAGGUUAGGGGCUAAGUUAGGUCAAACAUGAGCUUCAUGAGAAUACAAGUUCUGAUAAUGGAAUUGUCACAUAAGGCAGCAGCAAAUUCAGUGUGUGAGAUGUUUAAGGCAAUCCAUUUCUGAAUGUAGCUCUAAUGCCCAAAGAAGAUGCACAAAGCAAGGCAAAAGUCGUCUUUGCUCAUAAUUGUUUCUCAGUGAUGGCUUUGCUCACAAUGUCUUUUACUGCCUUUCCUGAUCAUACAGAAUGUUUAAACUAGAACUGGCUCUUGUAUUAAAGCAAAUAGUCCUAGUUCUGAAACUGAAAACUUGUGGCUUAAAUUAAAGCCAAAAUACACAGUCUCUCUAUUUAUGUAAACUGUGAUUAUUGCUAUGCGAGGCUGCUUUGCCGAUGGCCAAAUCAGCACAGUGACCACAGUGUUUCUUCUGUAUUCAAAAUCACUUUCUAAUACUGUUUGAUGUCACAGAGGCAGGCUUAGAACAGUUGAAUUAAAUUUAACUAUAUUUCAAUAUCCCCUUCUCCUCUCUUCUUCAUCUCUUUCUAUCCUCUCUCUGUUUUUCCCUUGUCUCCCAAGAGCAGCACUCACAGAUAUUUUAAGAUCUGUGUAGUUCUAACUUUGAAAUACUCAUCUGUUAUGAACUGGCAUAAGUGCUAGAUUAAUACAAGUAUUUGUCUGCUCUGUCCUCCCACAUCUGAAAGCACAAGAACUCAUAAUCCAGAUCCACACCAUGUUUGUAGAUGUAUAAACUAAGAGGUUUUUCUAGUAAUCAAGAAUAGCAGAAUAAAGAGCAGUAUCAAAAUGCUACAAGAAAACAGAUUUUGAUAGUCAGAUUUCUUAAGAGCAGUAUGCAGCCUAAGUAGAUUUUAAGAAA